rnacentral:rRNA from 1 species
GAUGAAGCGUAAUAAGGGCAUCUGGUGGAUGCCUUGGCACUGAGAGGCGAUGAAGGACGUGGCACGCUGCGAUAAGCUGGGACGAGAGGCGAGCACUCUUUGACUCCCGGAUCUCCGAAUGGGGAAACCCCACCCUUCUGGGUGAUCUUCAGCUGAAUACAUAGGCUGUUGAGGCGAACCCUGCGAACUGAAACAUCUCAGUAGCAGGAGGAAAGGACAUCAACCGAGACUCCGUUAGUAGUGGCGAGCGAACGCGGACCAGGCCAGUGGUUCUUCACGGAUUAGCAAAACGGUUUGGAAAAGCCGGCCAGAGUGGGUGAUAGCCCCGUAUGCGACAUGAAGUGAGGGACCCAUGAGUAGGGCGGGACACGUGAAAUCCUGUCUGAAUUUAGGGGGACCACCCUCUAAGCCUAAGUACUCCUCAGUGACCGAUAGUGCACCAGUACCGUGAGGGAAAGGUGAAAAGCACCCCGAUAAGGGGAGUGAAACAGUACCUGAAACCGGAUGCCUACAAGCAGUCGGAGCCUCUUUAUGGGGUGACGGCGUACCUCUUGUAUAAUGGGUCAGCGAGUUAGUCUCAGUAGCAAGCUUAAGC